rnacentral:misc_RNA from 1 species
AAGACUAUAGACCUGCGGAGUACCUGCGGAGGGAUCAUUAGAGGGGUUGAGGAGCGCGCCUGGCUGGUCUUGGCUGGCUUGGCGGCCUCCGCACACAUUUACGCUUGUCUGGUUUGGCUGAGCAAGUCUGCAAAAUAAAAAUGCAUUUCUUUACAACUUUUAGCAACGGAUCUCU